AUUGAACGCUGGCGGCAGGCCUAACACAUGCAAGUCGAGCGAGCGGCGGACGGGGGAGUAAUGUAUGGGGACUGCCCGAUAGAGGGGGAUAACUACUGGAAACGGUAGCUAAUACCGCAUACUAUCGGAUAACCCAUAGGGGAUUAGCUAGUUGGUGGGGGAAAGGCUCACCUAGGCGACGAUCUCUAGCUGGUCUGAGAGGAUGAUCAGCAACACUGGGACGGAGACACGGCCCAGACUCCUACGGAGGCAGAAGUGUGGAAUAUUGAACAAUGGGUGCAAGCCUGAUGCAGCGACGCCGAGGGGGGGAUGAAGGCUUUAGGGUUGUAAACCUCUUUCGCUAUCGAACGGGUAGGUGGAGAAGAAGCGCCGGCUAACUACGUGCCAGCAGCCGCGGUAAUUC
rnacentral:rRNA from 1 species